UGGAAGUAAAGUCGUAACAAGGGUUUCCGUAGGUGAAACCUGCGGAAGGAUCAAUUAAAAAAUGUGGUAACAGUUGUUGGUACUAAAUUAAAUCAUCCUACCCUUUGUGGAAUUGUUUGUAACGAAUUUUUUUAAAUGGUUCUUUCCCUAAGUUGGAUUGUAGUAAAAUACAAAAAGACUUAGGGGAAAUGACUUUUUUAAAAGACUUUUUUUUUAAAUUUAAACUUUUUUUGUAUUCAUUUGUCUAAAAUUUAUUUUUAAUAUAAAAAAAACUUUUGGACAAUGGAUCUCUUGGUUCUCGCAACGAUGAAGAACGCAGCAAAAUGCGAUAAUAGUGGUGUGAAUUGCAGAAUACGUGAAAUCAUCGAAUCUUCGAACGCAUAUUGCACUUUUUUUUAGUUUACUAAAAAAGUAUGUCUGUUUGAGUAUCAGUAAAAAUAUUCUCACAAACAUAUAUUGUUUGUGUAAUGAGUGUUUUACAACGAUAAAACAAGUUGUUUCAUUUAAAUUCUUUUGUAAGUUUUUACUACAAUUUACAAAUUUUAAAAUUGGAUAAAAAUUUUCCUUUAACGAGAAUAACCUAAACAAUUUUAAAUUUUUUGGUUUGUAAAAUCCAUAAAGGAAUCUAUACAUAAAUAACUUGAUCUCAAAAAUCAAUAAGAGUAACCCGCUGAAACUUAAGCAAUCAAUAAGCGGAGGAAAAAAGAACUAACAAGGAUUUCCCUUAGUAACGGCGAGUGAAGCGGAAGAGCUCAAAUUUGAAAUCUUUCAAGGUUUGGACCUUGACGAAUUGUAGUUUUAUAGAAGUUGUUUCUGUUGGAGUUUUGGUAAAAGUUCUUUUGGAAUAGGACAUCAUAGAGGUGGAAAUCCGUAUUUGACCAUGACUUUCCCAGCUGUGUGAUACACUUUCAAAGAGUUGGAUUGUUUGGGAAUGGCAGUCCCAAAAAUGGGUGGUAAAUUUCAUCUAAAGCUAAAUAUUGGCGAGAGACCGAUAGCGAAACAAGUACCGUGGAGGGAAGAUGAAAAAGAACUUCGAAAAGAGAGUUAAACAGUACGUGAAAAUUGUCAAAAGGGAAGCGUUUGACACCAGUGUUGUUUUCUCGAAAAUCAAUUUAAUGAGUUCUUGUUUUUAAGUUAUUGUGACUUUAUCAGCGCAUUUCUUAUUUUACUUGACUCAUUGAAUGCACUUUUCGUUUAACAGUUCAACAUCAAUUUCUUUGGUGGUAAAAGUUUAAAGGAAGGUGGCUUGGACUUCGGUUCAAGUGUUUAUAGCCUUUUUUCUAUGCCAUCGGAAGAUUGAGGUCUGCAGCGUAGAUCCUUCGGGUUAGAUCUUUAGUACUAAGUUAUAGUUUUUUAUAGACAACUUGUUGACUAUAAUUAACCCUGUAAUUUACUCGCUAGAGCUAUUUUACCUACGCUUAGGAUGUUG
rnacentral:misc_RNA from 1 species